CAGCCUUGGAAGGAGCUUGGGUUCAUGCAAUGCUAAAGGUUCACAGACGCUGAGUCGAGAAUUCAUAAGCUUAUGUUCCUAUAGCUGCAACAAUAAAUCGACUUCACAGCACCAGUGGUCCCACCCCUCAUUAUUUACAGCCUGACAAUGAGCCAAACCCUGUUGUUCAAGAGAUCCAAGAGUAACUCCAAGACUGCCCUGUGGAGAGAGAAAACAAAGAGAACUUGUCCUAAGAGAACAAAGACUGCUCCUCAGUCAAGGCAGGAUGGAUGGAACAGAGUUUCUAAAAUGAAACAAGUAGCAGAAGCAGAGUAGUUUGCAGAAGAAAUUGUUAUACAAGUGCUUUUCCUAGGGAAAUAAACUGAUGUUGCUAAUA